rnacentral:rRNA from 1 species
GAUGAACGCUGGCGGCGUGCCUAAUACAUGCAAGUCGAGCGAACAGACGAGGAGCUUGCUCCUCUGACGUUAGCGGCGGACGGGUGAGUAACACGUGGAUAACCUACCUAUAAGACUGGGAUAACUUCGGGAAACCGGAGCUAAUACCGGAUAAUAUAUUGAACCGCAUGGUUCAAUAGUGAAAGACGGUUUUGCUGUCACUUAUAGAUGGAUCCGCGCCGCAUUAGCUAGUUGGUAAGGUAACGGCUUACCAAGGCAACGAUGCGUAGCCGACCUGAAAGGGUGAUCGGCCACACUGGAACUGAGACACGGUCCAGACUCCUACGGGAGGCAGCAGUAGGGAAUCUUCCGCAAUGGGCGAAAGCCCGACGGAGCAAUGCCGCGUGAGUGAUGAAGGUCUUCGGAUCGUAAAACUCUGUUAUUAGGGAAGAACAAAUGUGUAAGUAACUAUGCACGUCUUGACGGUACCUAAUCAGAAAGCCACGGCUAACUACGUG